ACUUCCCGAGCCAAGAAAACACACCCAGAUGACCCGAACCCUGAGCAGGUAGCCACCUGGUUCAUCUCAUGUGAUGCUGCCAUGGGCUCCUGGCUCCGCGGCUGCGUGGUCCUGUUUUUCCUGGGCACAGGCCCUGUGGACACUAAGAUUACCCAGAUUCCAAAGCACCUGGUCACAGCAAUGGGAAGUAAGAGGACCCUGAACUGUGAGCAAUAUCUGGGACAUAAUGCUAUGUAUUGGUACAAGCAGGAGCCUGAGAAACCACUGGAGCUCAUGUUUUCUUACAACUAUAAGGAACUUGUUCAAAAUGAGACUGUGCCAAGUCGCUUCACACCUGACUGUCCUGACAGUGCUCACCUGCACCUUCACCUCUAUGCCCUGGAGCCAGGAGACUCAGCCGUGUAUCUCUGUGCCAGCAGCCAAGACACAGCCUUGCAGAGUCACUGCCUCCCUAUGCACAAACUCCCAGGUCCAGCCAGGAAGCUGUGGGGGCGAUGUGCUCCCCUGAGCGAUGAGGCUCUGUUCAGCUCUCCACAGGACCCGGACAGAAGCUCAGACCUUAAUCCUGCCUGGCAACUUAUUCAAUACGACAAUGCUAAAAGCCAUGCCCAGGACACCAGCAGCCUGAGGCUGGGCUUUGCCUUGAACAAGACUGUGCCUGCAGCUGAAUACAGGACAGAAACUCUCAACUUUAAGUUGUUCCAAGAAUCUUCCAAAGGCAAUGCCCCUAGAAAAUCUUAAUGCUCUGGCCCUACCCAUCCUUCCCAUAUACACCUUUCU